AGUGCUUGCAAACGUAUGCUUUCUUUUUUCAUAGAAAUUUGUGGGAUAAUUUGCAAGCACCUAUGAGUUGAGCUUGCAAAUAUUUUAAAUCCCCCGCCAAUUAUUUGGGCUGACAUCCCAAGUCUCUGCAUUUCAAACCCUAUUAAUUUUUCCUCAAAUUCUUUUUCCCAUUUCUCCAAUUUCCAAAUUCUCUCUUCGCAUUUCUCUAUUUCUCAAAUUCCCAAAUUCUCGUUUCGUGCCGCCGGUGUCCUGCUCUGCCACCGGUCGCCCUUGCUAUACCGCCGGACUAUGGCUUUGCCACCGGUCGCCCUUGCUCCGCCGCUGGCUUCCUGCUCCGCCAGCAACAGCUUUCAGCUUUUCUUCGUAGCAAGGUUUGUUGGAUUUUCUCCAAUUCGUCGGAUCACAUUUCUCUGAUUUUCUCUGGAUUUUCUUCGAAUUCAUAAACACGUGCUGAGCUUGCUUUCUGGAGCCAUUUUUCGCACUGCAGGAAAUACGAGAGGAGUUGCGCUUAGAAUAACGACAAGAAAUACAUCAAUGCGCAUCUGAAGUAUUUUCUUGAUCCUAAACUUAGGUUAUGUUAAUACGACAGCUGGUAAAGGUCCUUAGUCAAAAAGUUCAAGAGAUGAGAAGAAGUGAAUAGAUUUAGCUUGUGUUAGGUUUUGACAUUUAUAUUUUCUAUUCUAGCUUCAUAGUUUCUAA